CCUACGGGCGGCUGCAGUGGGGAAUAUUGCACAAUGGGCGCAAGCCUGAUGCAGCCAUGCCGCGUGUGUGAAGAAGGCCUUCGGGUUGUAAAGCACUUUCAGCGGGGAGGAAGGCGGUGAGGUUAAUAACCUCAUCGAUUGACGUUACCCGCAGAAGAAGCACCGGCUAACUCCGUGCCAGCAGCCGCGGUAAUACGGAGGGUGCAAGCGUUAAUCGGAAUUACUGGGCGUAAAGCGCACGCAGGCGGUCUGUCAAGUCGGAUGUGAAAUCCCCGGGCUCAACCUGGGAACUGCAUUCGAAACUGGCAGGCUAGAGUCUUGUAGAGGGGGGUAGAAUUCCAGGUGUAGCGGUGAAAUGCGUAGAGAUCUGGAGGAAUACCGGUGGCGAAGGCGGCCCCCUGGACAAAGACUGACGCUCAGGUGCGAAAGCGUGGGGAGCGAACAGGAUUAGAUACCCUAGUAGUC
rnacentral:rRNA from 1 species